GCCUCCGUGGCGGAAUUGGUAGACGCUGCGGAUUUAAAAUCCGUUGAUCCUAGAUCGUGCGGGUUCGAUCCCCGCCGGAGGUA
rnacentral:tRNA from 1 species